ACGAACGCUGGCGGCGUGCUUAACACAUGCAAGUCGCACGCUGAAGACCUGGCUUUUGUUGGGUUGGAUGAGUGGCGAACGGGUGAGUAACACGUGAGUAACCUGCCCUCUUCUUUGGGAUAACGCCCGGAAACGGGUGCUAAUACUGGAUAUUCACUGGCCUUCGCAUGGGGGUUGGUGGAAAGGUUUGUUCUGGUGGGGGAUGGGCUCGCGGCCUAUCAGCUUGUUGGUGGGGUGAUGGCCUACCAAGGCUUUGACGGGUAGCCGGCCUGAGAGGGUGACCGGUCACAUUGGGACUGAGAUACGGCCCAGACUCCUACGGGAGGCAGCAGUGGGGAAUAUUGCACAAUGGGCGAAAGCCUGAUGCAGCGACGCCGCGUGAGGGAUGGAGGCCUUCGGGUUGUAAACCUCUUUCGCUCAUGGUCAAGCCGCAACUGUGGGUUGUGGUGAGGGUAGUGGGUAAAGAAGCGCCGGCUAACUACGUG
rnacentral:rRNA from 1 species